rnacentral:lncRNA from 1 species
UGAAGAACUCACGUUCUCUUUAGUUUUCUCCACACGAAAAAGAGAAUCAGUCAUUAUCUUUUUACGUCUAAUUUUGUUAUUAAUAAAAUCAUGCGACCAAGAUAGGUUACAUUUAAAAAUGAAAAAUUAAAUGAAUAACCUAUUGUGCACGAUCCUGCAUGCACAAACAAUGUGUUUAGUAGCCUAUACAAUCGAUGAAUGUGAAGGACAGGAAACCAAAUAAGUCUAACUAGACAUCAUAACCUUAAACUCAUCAAAAUUGAGUUGUCCAUCCCCAUUGAUAUCGUAAUGAGCUAUCAUCAAUAUUAUCUUCACAUUAUAAAACCUUAAUAACUGGUUUUUCUUUUUCUUUUUUUAUACUUUUAAAAUAAGUUGGGAAAACCACAUAACUACUAUAUUAUAAAAACAUAUUUCACUAUAGUAGAGAGAGAGAGAGGUUUAUGCACUGUAAAGAUAGAGAAAGGCGGUUUAUGGCAUAAAUAGAGACGGAAGGGCUUUGAAUGACGGGUGAGUACGUGCAAAGAGAGACGUGAUAUGAAAUGCUGUGAAAUUGAAAUAUGGACGGUCCAGAUUGCAUCACAUAAAUGAACAAUUAAUUUAUAAUAAACUUAUUUUUAUUAAUUUUAAAAUAAAUAAUUAACAUCUGAUUUUAGAAAUUUAAACUUAAUCACCCUAAUUUUGAAAUGUAAAGUUUAUAAGUAGGGUUUUGCGUUAUUUUACGAAAUAACUUUCGACUUGAUUGAAUUAUAGUAUAAUCUUUUCUCCUUUAUGUUUUUCCGGCUCUAUAUUAUAUUAAAAGCUACUCAGAGGACACGUUUGUGUCAUCAUAUGGUUUUGGGAGGAUGCCAAAUUGAAUUGUAUAAAUUAGAAGCCGCAUUAAAAUGGAGAGAAUAAUGCCUUUCCCACCGAAAAGAGGAUAAAAUGAAAACUACCAAGCUCCAGUGAGUACACGCAAAUUUCGAUGGAACACUGAAAUGCGUAGAGAUAAAAGAAAUUUGAAGAACUGAUGAAAAUGCUAAUAAUUUCUGAACUCAAAAUAGCUCGACGCAGUUUAUAUAUAUAGGUACUGGGGCGUGUACCUGAUAAGAACGCGUACGUCGACCAAAAUAAUAUAACUUGUAUAAAGGGAUAUUGGCUGUAGGAUUAAACAAGAAAAGAAAAUAAGACCGUUGACUCAUUUUGUAUCGUAAUGUCCAGCUUUGAAAUCAAAAAAGAAGGGUAGGAAGAGAAGUCGAAUGCGUGUUCAAAACGGUUAAGAAUUUGUAAGAACAAUUAAACUUUGAAACAUUUUCCUGAAAGAAAUCCAUAGGAAAAUAAAUUUUACAGUAUUAUCAAUGAAUUGUUCUCGAAACUUCAUAGCUGUAAUAAUCGCUGAAAUUUAAGCCCCGUUUGGUCCCAUUAUUUGAAAUUAUAAUUUUUCUCUCUUAUUUUUAACUACAAUUUCCCAUGACAUAAUAUUACACAUAAAUUGAGAAAAAAAAUCUUAUUUUUCAACUAUUAUUUCAAAAAUUACAAAUUGAAAUAAUGGGAGCGAAAUGGGACUAAAUGUAAAGUUUGACACAGGGACGUGUGGCUAAGCAUGCCCGAGGGAGAGGGAGAGGGAGUGGGAGAAGAAAGUUCUCUUUUGUAGUGAAAUGUCUUCUAAAUUUUUCUUGACCGUCUGACAAACAUAAUUUAUAAUUUUAUUUUUUGUAUGAAUCUAAUUUUAUAUUAAUGGAAAUCAGUCCAAUAACCAUUAUUUUUUACAACCAAUUAAACGUGUUUAGAUCAUUAAUUUUCUUCUCUAAUAGCCAUAGCCGUCUAGCCCAAAGGAUUAAGAGAAACCCAAAUUCCCAAUUCCAAUUCGUCUCUCAACAUUCACCGUCUCAUUCUGGUCGUCGACGCCGCCUUCUAAUCCAUCAUUGUAUUUGUCUUUGAGAACACUUUGAAUUUUAAGGUAGUGAGGUUUGUUUGUUUAUAAAUACAUAUAAUUUCUAAAAGAAAGCUGACCCUUCUGUUGGAAUUUCUUCAUUUUUUGAAUUUCUCAAAAUUCAACCUCACAGUGCCACGAUAGAGGAAGAUAGGCAAUACCGACACCACUUUUCCCAGUUUGCCCACAGACAUUAUCAUCCCACACCAUUCCUCGUUUAGCCAGUGCCACUUUUCCCUGUUUGCACACGGACAUCAUCCCACAUUUGGACAAAUGAUGAAAUUGAACUCGAUAUUAUCAACUUAUAUCGAGCUACAGUGCCCACAAGGAUGAUCGCACUGUUGACACAACACACACACAUGAGGAUCAGGAUUAUUUUAUUCACGGGAGACCCACACCUCGACUAUGAGUGCGCGUCAUCCACGCUAUAGCCGACGCGGGUUGAGUGACUUAAUUCUAUUAACUUUUGACAAUGACUCAUUCGUUUAUAUUUUAUUUGUUAGUUUGGACUUUUAUAAUCUUAAUUUUUGAUAAUUUGAACUUGUUAAAUGUUUGAUACUUAUAUUUUUUAUGUAAGUACAUGUUACUAACUUAUAGAUACUGUGCAAAACUGAAAACUUAAGUAAUAGUACUAAUCUACUAGAACCAAACCAAACUGAACCAGGACUGAAUGGCUCGAUUCGGUUUGAUUCCACAUCUUAAAAAAAAUCAUUCAAUUUCAUUAUCAGAAAUAUUAUUAGUUCAUGGUUCAGUUCGAUUUCUUAGAAUCAAAACCAAAUAGAAACACGUCCACCCCUACUUUAAAUAAAUGGUGGGAGGAUAAUUUAUAAGUUAAGCAAUAGCUGGGUUAUUUUUGGAAAUUAAUUUCGAAAUGUUUUUGACCCUUUGAAUAUCAACGUUUUUUGCAACCAUUAAAAGACCUGACACACUUCUGUCCAUUUGCAAUUUUUUUAACAAUUAAUUUACUGUUUAAAUUUUGAAAAGCUGGCAAAAAAUUGGAAUAAUGGGGCUCAAUAGAAUAUUUCGAAAUUAACAUUUAUAAUGCAAAAUUUUGGUAAAAUAUAUUAUAAAAUAGUAUUUUUGAGAAACAAGUGAUUAAAAAAAAGAUUUUUUUUAUUUACCUGUAAUAUUUUUUUAAUGAAAAAUGUGUUGUGUGUUAAAAAUUUAAAGGGUAUCAAAUAAGAGCUUAGUUCAUUGACACCGGCCUAAAUAACAAAAUUCUUUGUUGGGAAAAUUAACACUUCAGACAAUCCAGUCGAGUGUUAAAAAAAUGAAGAAUCAAUCAUAGGAUAAAAAUACUUGAAAUUGAUCAAGAAUUCCAAUCGUAUAUUAUUUAAAAUAAAAAGAAUUUUUUUUUUUUUUUUUUUUUUUUUGUGAAAAAAGCUAUCUAUCCCGUACAAAUCUCUAAAAGUCAAGACAAAAUUUCAGAAUUACACAAAAGUCACUUUAUAGAAGUCUUUUAAAAUACAAUUUGGAUUGCAUUAAAAUGGAGAUCUAUGAUGUCUUUCCCACUGACCACAUGAAGAAUCAACGUUGGUCGACUGCCUGAAAAACGAGUUAAUUUCACUUCGAAGUUUGUAAGAAAUUUUAAAUUGAUCAUUAAAAUAUUUUCUUCCUAGUUUUAUAACGAUUUAAGAAAUAAUCAAUCAAUUAGGAAAAAAUGUAGGCCAUGUUCAGUAGGGAUUUUGAGAAUUGACUUUUUUACCGUUAGGAAAAAGUGGGGGCCACCUGCAAAAAAAGAAGUAAAAAAUUAUGACUGAAAUAGUGAAAUAGCGGUUAAAAAUCAAUUUUUUUGGAUAAAAAAUCACUCCCAAACACCCCCCCCCCUUCGCAACUUAAAAUCCAUCAUGUUAAGUGUCACAAUAGAAUAAACAAUGAUAAAUCAAAUUGUCGUACUCAAUUUGUAUAGCUAAUGCAACAAGCCCAACAAUAUAAAAUCCAUCUUCCAUCUCAUUCCCUAACACUAACGAUAACCCACAUUAAAUAGCAAGGAAAGCAUCGUGUUAAGAAAAUAACGUCACUUUCUCCACACGUCAAAAUUUAUGAUGACACAUUACAUUCUAAUUAAAUGAUUAUCUGCGAAAUUAUUAACUCAUUUUUUGUUACCAAUUUAAAAUUUCCUAUAAACUUAAUUGACAAUUGGUGGAAUUAACUUGCCUUAAAGCAUUGACAUAUUCCCAGUUGGAAGUUGCUCGGGAGCUUGAGUCUGGACUCUAUUGGGGAGAAGUUGACUUUGUUGUUAUUACGUGGGUUUCGAUUGUUAUUAAGCUGUUGUUUUGUAGAGAUUUUUUAAAAAUUCAUUUUCAAUAAUAUAUUUUACGAGAUUCAUAAUUUUUUCUUAUUUUUUAUUUAUAUAUUCUCCUAUAGAAUCUCUCAAAACAAGCGUUAAGUAUGAAGCCGCAUUAAAAUUUGUCAAUUGCCUUAAAUAUCAUAUUCUGAUGCUCCGCCGCAUUAUGAUAAAUAUUUUUGACUAUUGGAAAUUUGAGUUAUGCAUAAUUAAUUUUAUGCGUAUACACGUUUCUUGUAAAAAAGUCUAUUGACUCUAUUCCAUUAAUUUAUUGUUUAAAUGUUACCAUUCUUUGCCACAUUCCUGAUAUUUAGGACAAUUGGAGUUUUUUGCUGCAAAUAAAACCCAACUUCCUUGAAGACUCGAUGAACUUCUUCUUACUGAAAAUACUUUAGGAUUCAAUGGUUUUUACCUUGAGGCUGAUCAUCUUAGUGGCAAUAAAUUUAAUUCAACUAUCCUAAAAAAAGGUUGAACCCUAACCUUAAGGGCCCCCACCGACCCUGUCCUGGGCCAUCGUGGAGAAGGUAAAUCGCAGGAUGUGCCUCCCAGGAGCCAGGGUGGAGAGCACAUGGAUAAGUCAAGACUGUUAACCCAUAUGGUAACUCCCGAUUGCAACAAAGUCAAUUCCACCUUGCGGGGAAUCGAACUCUGUACACUGUCGCGCUGAGCCCUAUCCGCCCUCCCCUUUGCCACUGGGAGAUAUGCCCUGGGGGCUUAAUUCAACUAUCCUAACUAUUUCAAAAGUUCUUAUAAGGAGGAAUGGAGUUGAUGUGGAUGCAGGAAAAUUGGGGUUGAAGAAGGUGGAGGAAAUGACGUGAUGGCUGACACUGUGGUGGACUCAGUUCAGAUGAUGGUGGUGAUAAUUGUUGUGAGGCUCACCAUCAGGGGAAGGAUGUUUGUUCCAUGAGCAGAUAAGGGAUUGAGGUUUGGCAGGUAGUGAAAUAUAAGUAUUUUUUAUGAACUAACAUAUUUUUUUAAUGAAAAUAUUUAAUUGUCCUUCUAGUGUACUUUUAGAAGCUUUGCAACCACAACAUUUUGGAAAGAUUGGAGACAUUUGAUGCUAUUUACCCUUUUUCAAUUAAUUAAAGAUUAAAAGACCAUCGCAUCCGUUUCAAAAUUGAUCAAUUUUUGGUCAAACGUUAAAUUUUGGCCAACCAAUGAAUUUUUGGACGAAAGUCAUCCAGAUACCCUUCAUCAGACGCACAAUUUUUAAAGGUUUGAAACUACCUGCUAGAAAUUAAAUAUUUGAGUAUAUCCUACACUAUAAAAAGUUUGAAACAUCUGCUACGAAUUUUCCUUCUAAAGGGAAUCUUCCAAAGGUGUGGUGUGCCAACUACUAUAGUGAUAAUUCAACAUGAGAAUCAUACAGGAAGUCGGUAGGAGCAUUAUCCUGUGUCCCGGAGGAAGGGCAUUUUCCCACCCCAAACCUUUAAAAGUUAAAUUAUUUAAAUAUAUUUGGCAAACUAAGAUUUUUAUUAUUUAUCAUAUUUCUUAAAUAAUCUUAGUUGCUAUCUAGAAUUAAUGAAAUUUUGUGAAAUUUUUUCCAUUUAAAGUUAAAGUAUUGAAUUUUUUAAGAAAAGAAAAAAAAUUAAACGGACCAAAAUUACCCCACUUUGUACCCGAUCCGAUUACCCGAUUAAGUGAGUAAUUCCCGCCCUAUUCGGGGUAGGCCUCGCAAGAAUCGGGUUUCGUGGGUAUGUGUACAAUCCCUAUAUUUAAAAGACUUUUUAAACAUAACAUACUCUCUAUUUUCGAAAGUCAACCUUUGAAAUCAUGCAAUCUUUAAAUUAACAUUUUAAUUUAGAGAGUGUUUAACUCUCCAAAUUAAAUGUGUUCAAAGCAUUUCAAUUUUUAAUGUAGAAAAAUAAUAAAAUAAUCCAAAGAAAAGUUAGUUAAAAUGAAAUAUAGAAAAAAAAUAAUAAAUAUUUUUUUGAAGUAGUAAAAUUAAGUGUUAAAUAUAAAUAGCUUCUUGGAGUUCUUUCAAAAUUUUAACUCUUGAAAUUUAUAAAUAUUUUUCAAAUGAUAAAAUAUGUCCUUUAAAAAUAUAGAGUCACUUCGAAAUACUAACUCAAACUUCUACUAGAUAAUAAUACGUGGCGUAGAGAACACACCGUCAAGGAUAGAAAUAUGCCCAACCCAACCACGUUUUUAUUUCUUUAGUACUUCAAAAUUUAUUUUGACGUUUGAAAAUUGUAAUUUUUUUUAUUAAUUCUGUGUCAAGCAAUAAAAAAUUAUUAGUAAAUACUAAUUUAGGCCCUAUUUGAGCAUAUGUUUUUUGAAAUGAGAGUAUUUUGGAAAAUGUUGAUUAAAAAGUAUAGAAAUUUUUUGGAUUUAAGUACUAGUUUAUUGAAAAAAUAUAUAUUAAAAACGAAUUAAAAAAAAACUUUAAAGAAUGAGGUUCGAACAUGGAUUGGACUUGAUGAUUGAUUUACUAUAAAUCGGGGUCAUCCUUCCUAUUCAAAAAUUUGACGCACUUAUUUGAUAAAUAAUCAUGAUCUUUAAUUUAAGUCAAUCCAAUGAUCAAUAUCAAGUUCACUAAAAUUAUGGAAGAAUUUGAUAUAACAAUCAAAUAACAAUAACGAUUAGUCUCUAGCAUUAUGACACACAUCAAAUAUUGUAGCAUUAGUACGGUCAAGAUUCAAAAAAUUUUGAGAAUCGUAUAUUUAUUGUUUAUAACAAUUCCCACCAAUAACAAUGAUAGUUGAAUAUAUUUUUAAGUAUAUAUGUCCCAUUCUAGUAUAAAUUAAUACUACCAUACCCCUUUCUUCCAUAUAUUGUUCCAAAUGAGAGUCAGUCAAUUCUACAUUUAGAUAUGAAUCCAAUUUUAACAACUCUUAAAUUGAAAGUAGGCAUCUCAAAUUCCCAAAAGGAGGGUUUCAAUUCUUAUAGUAAAAUUUAAAAAAUAAGUUGGCGCAUGGACUACUUGGCUAGGUUCACGAGCCAUAGGACUGAGUCGAGCAAUAUUUUUGCACACAGACCUUGCUUGGCACAUCAAUAGGACCAAGUCAAGCUCAAGAGUUUCAAGGCCGAGCUGGGAUGGCUUGGCCAUUGCCACCCCUACGUAUAUCACCAUCACGUUAUUCUAUCCACAACCGAAAUCCCACAUUGCCUUGCACCCCAAAUGCGACAUGACCAUGGCGUAAGGGUAAUGCAUGCCUAUGCCGUAGCCUAUGUUAGCUUUAAGGGGCUGACAUACAUCCUCAAAAGUAAAAAGAAAAAAAUAACAGUAAAAUAGUUCACGUUUAUUAGCGGUUCAAUUUGAACGUGGGAGCUAAAUUCAUUUAUUGCUAAAUAAUUGUGCAUUUUGUGAAGAACUCACGUCUCUCUUUAGUUUUCUCCACACGAAAAGGAGAAUCACUCAAUAUCUUUUUAUGUCUAAUUUUGUUAUUAAUAAAAUUAUCAACCACAAGUAGUUAUAUUUAAAAAUGAAAAAUUAAAUGAAUAACCUAUUGUGCACGAAGUAACCCGCACAAAACCUAUUGUGCACGAAGUAGCCCGCAGAAACAAUGUGUUUAAUAACUUAUACAAUCAAUGAAUGAAUGACAAUUAUGAAGGACAGGAAACCAAUUAGGACUAACUAGACAUCAUAAUCUUAAACUCAUCAAAAUUGAGUUGUCCAUCCCCAUUGAUAUCGUAAUGAGCUAUCAUCAAUUUACAUUCCUCAAUGGUUUUAGCUUCUCCUAAUCUACUAAGCAUUCUCUUCAAACUCUCUGGUAAUA